GGUGUCUUGUUCCGUGGUCACAGGCACAGGCAUGCUGUCCUGUUUUCUCUGAGCUCAUUUUCUCCUCUGUUCAGUGCUGUUGCCUGAGGAAAGAUCCUGCACUACAAUGCUCUGGCUCUUGUCUUCCAGCUGAUGCCCUCAGCGGAGACUGCGGUAUCCUGGUAUCCCCGUAUGAAGCUCCCUCUGAGGCGUGGUUAACCCAGCUCUAAGCGAAUCCUGCUCAUUGGGACCCCCAUGUAACAGACACCAUUCUCUUCACCUUUUUGGCCUUUCCUAAAGUCCCUCAUAGGUUGAUUGUACUUCCUGAGUUUUCCAUGGGUUAUUAGUUUAGUUUAAAAAGUGGAAAGGUAACAAAGAAACCCAGAAAACAUUUAAACAGUUAGGAGACAAAAUGGUUUAUGGAGGCCAUUUAAAAAAAUAGUACUGCACUGGCAUCUUAUGGGAAAUGCAUGCAGAGCUGUGCACAGAGAAAGGAAAUUAUAACUUUUAAAUCCAUUUAAUACGAAAGAAAAAAAAAUACAUGAAUUCUGUACCAAGGAAUUUACAGCAGCAACAAUGAGUGAAACUAAAGGAAGUAAUUAAGAUAAAAACAGAAAUUAAUAACUUAAUAAUUAGAAAGUUUGCGAAGCUGCUGUUCUGAUACUUCAGUCGCAUAUUCUGAGAUAAAGUCAAGGGAUGAAGGAAUCUGCAGUAAGCCGGAUCCUGGAUCAGGGAGAUUAAACACACCAAUAAAAACAGACAACAUUAGAACUGAGAGGCCAGGAGUGUAGCUGUAAGCUCUAGCUGCUGCAGGUAGGCAGUGCUGAUAAAUGAAAAUCUACACGAAGGGGGUGACUUGCUAGGAAAAUGUAAGAAGAUAGAGUUAAAAGCUCAUAAAGAGAAAUGAAAAUAUCUUGAUUUGGAAAGUUUUCUGGGCAUUCCUUGCCCUCCAACAGACUAAGCUUAAUUUUUAGAAAUAAGUUCUUUGGAAUUUUUACAGGGCACAUUAAUAUUUUUUUUUCUUGUGCUUAGAAACGGUUUCAGAUCAAGGAAAAGGAUUAAACAUGUUUGCCUUUCUUUUAGCUAUUGUUUCAGUUUGUGUGCAUGUAAGUGUGUGUACAUGCACGCGCGCGUGUGCGCACACACACACACACACACACACACACACAUACACACACACACAGAGAAAGAGAGGUACAGAUCUUUUAGAUGUGUUUCCAAAGAUUAAGAUUUAAUAUUGAAAAGAAAAUCAAAGUAGAAAUUUUCUCUUUAAUAAUUUACCAAGACAAAAGAGUUUAUUCUAAAAAUGCAAAGGUAACUAGCUAAACGGGAAUUUUUUUUUUAUAUUUCAUUUUUGCAGUUGGAAAAACUACCAAGAGAAAAUAUAUUUGGCCAUCUUUUAAGUUGCAGAAAAAAAUGAUAGAUUUUUAAAUUCUGUCAAUUAAACAAAUUUUUAAUUAACUGUAAUAAAAACAUAUUCUUAGCAUACAUACAACUUUCCACAACAAAACCCCAAUGUCUCCAUUAUUAGUGUCAAAAGAGCAAUAUAAAGAUGCUUACAAUCCCGACCAUGUAAACCAAGAUCACUCUGGAAAUUCUGGUGCAGGGUUCUUCAAAGCUAUUUGAUAGAAAACCAUUCAUAUUACAUGGAACAAGCUUUGAGAAUUAUUUUAGCCACCAUGAUAAGGC
rnacentral:lncRNA from 1 species